CCUACGGGAGGCAGCAGUGAGGAAUAUUGGUCAAUGGGCGAGAGCCUGAACCAGCCAAGUCGCGUGAAGGAUGACUGUCUUAUGGAUUGUAAACUUCUUUUGUAGGGGAAUAAAGAGGGGCACGUGUGCCUCAGUGAAUGUACCCUACGAAUAAGCAUCGGCUAACUCCGUGUCAGCAGCCGCGGUAAUACGGAGGAUGCGAGCGUUAUCCGGAUUUAUUGGGUUUAAAGGGUGCGUAGGCGGCCUGUUAAGUCAGCGGUGAAAUCUAGGAGCUUAACUCCUAAAUUGCCAUUGAUACUGGCGGGCUUGAGUGUAGAUGAGGUAGGCGGAAUGCGUGGUGUAGCGGUGGAAUGCAUAGAUAUCACGCAGAACUCCGAUUGCGAAGGCAGCUUACUAAGGUACAACUGACGCUGAAGCACGAAAGCGUGGGGAGCAAACAGGAUUAGAUACCCUUGUAGUC
rnacentral:rRNA from 1 species